GUGGAGGCACCUGGGCAGGCGACACCGCCUCCUCUCGCGCGACUCCCAACUGUAGGGCCAGCAGAGGGGUCGCGGAAGAGCAGGAGGUAGCCCCAGCCGCCCGGGGUCCCAGGAACCUCUGGAAUCUGCAAGGAGGCUGCCUUGGACGACUGGGAGGAGUGGCAAAGCCUGGCCGCCCCUGGAGUCUACACCUGAAGAUUCCUACUCUUGGUGAAACAGCUAGUCCUGCCCCGCCUCCGCUCCCCGGAGCCCGGAUCAGGAGCCAAAGCGAAAUAAUUACAGAGGAGUAACGAUGUUCUGAGCACUGUGGCAUAUUUGCCCGUGGUCUUCUCCCUUACCUGAAGGCUUACCUUAGAUCCAGGCCUGAGAAACACGCUAAGUGAUCCGAAGUCAGAAGGCACCAACCACCGCUGGCUACCUGUUCUCAGCUCAGAUGUUACCAGAAACCCUGGAGAGCACAAAUCCAUGUGCGCACACAUACACAGCCCUCGCCACUGCAUGCCUGUGUUCCCGCAUGCAUCUGGCACAGCUAGGGUUUGGGGUGCGGCCCCUCCCCCUGCCCCUUGCCCCUGGGUGGUACCUGGGAGCCACCCCAGGUCUCUGUCCUUCCGCCUCUGAGGUGGGUCCUGGGUGAUCUCCAAAGAAAGCAGAAGAGAGCUUCCCAGAGGCCAGCGCAGAUGGUUUGGGACUGAGAGGCUUGAGGCCUCUUCCUAAGCACAACUGUGGGGAAGACUGAUACACCCCAAGACUGAAGAAUUCUAGGUCCUGGUUCUGACUGUUGUGGCUGCUGAGGAUCGUGCUCAUUUGUGUACCUGUAAGACAGCGAGACCCCAGCUCAGAAGACAAAGAAGAAUACUUGUGCAAGUGAUGGUGGGAAAUACAGACUCCCCGUGGCUCAAAGGCGUUCAGAAAAGGGUCAUUUUCCUGUGUCCUCUCAUGCACCUCAAGGUCUAUCUAUGAUUCAUGCAUUGCUACUGCCACCAGGCUCUGCCCCCAAGGCAGGGAUGUGCACAACUCCAGAAGUGUGCUUCAAAGUCUUCAAGGGGACACAACCCCAAGAAGUGUAACUCCUCUAAUGAGACAAGUAUUUUAUAAUAGUUUUCAAGCUCUGAAUUCUUAUAAUUCAGUUAACUAAGAAUCUAAAUCAUCCAGGCUGAAAAAUCUGAGAAAGAUGGUAAAAGUGCUCAUCAGUUAUAAAACCCUAAAAAUGGAUGAUUGCCAGACCCUGGGUAUAUACACAGGCGUGAUUCUUUUUUCAAUUAGGCAUCUCUAUGUGUAAAUCUUAUGUGCAGAUUAUAGAGUGGUAGAAAAACAUCAUUACCUAGAGGCAUUGCUUUCCAGGCACUUCUCAGCUCCCUCUGGACCAGAAGAGGUGAUUUGGCCUCUGUUUCUGAGUCUGGUGUAGGCAGUGAAAAUGCCUGAAAUACUUUACUGCCUGUGGCUCUAAGUUUGCAGUGCAUUCAGCCAGUGGCCAGCAACCUCAUCUGCAUACCAAUAACCAGCAGCCUCCAUGCACUUUUAGUCCCAGAGAACAAGGAAGCAUCCUCACCGUGUCUGGGUGCUGCAACAGCCGCACUGGGUCACAGCUUUGGUCCUGCACAUAAGUCAAGCAACAGGCUGUGUAUUCCUGUCGAGAGAUGAAGACAACUUAGGCCCAGAUGUAAGACAUACGAUAUUAAGAUGGAUGACGUCAAACAAACAUGGUCACUUUGACCCCAAAGCCACUGGAACCACACAAUGUUGGGUCUGGACGGGACUUUAGAGCCUUUCUAGGCCACUGGUUCUUAAGCUGUUUCAG
ensembl:lncRNA